GCCGAGGUGGCGGAAUAGGUAUACGCGUCGGUCUCAAAAACCGAUGACCGUAAGGUUGUGUGGGUUCGAUUCCCACCCUCGGCA
rnacentral:tRNA from 1 species